rnacentral:rRNA from 1 species
GAAUUCAGACAAACUCCGAAUGCCAAUUAAUUUAACUUGGGAGUCAGAACAUGGGUGAUAAGGUCCGUGUUCGAAAGGGAAACAGCCCAGACCACCAGCUAAGGUCCCAAAAUAUAUGUUAAGUGGAAAAGGAUGUGGCGUUGCCCAGACAACUAGGAUGUUGGCUUAGAAGCAGCCAUCAUUUAAAGAGUGCGUAAUAGCUCACUAGUCGAGUGACACUGCGCCGAAAAUGUACCGGGGCUAAACAUAUUACCGAAGCUGUGGAUUGUCCUUUGGACAAUGGUAGGAGAGCGUUCUAAGGGCGUUGAAGCAUGAUCGUAAGGACAUGUGGAGCGCUUAGAAGUGAGAAUGCCGGUGUGAGUAGCGAAAGACGGGUGAGAAUCCCGUCCACCGAUUGACUAAGGUUUCCAGAGGAAGGCUCGUCCGCUCUGGGUUAGUCGGGUCCUAAGCUGAGGCCGACAGGCGUAGGCGAUGGAUAACAGGUUGAUAUUCCUGUACCACCUAUAAUCGUUUUAAUCGAUGGGGGGACGCAGUAGGAUAGGCGAAGCGUGCGAUUGGAUUGCACGUCUAAGCAGUAAGGCUGAGUAUUAGGCAAA